CUCUGCCUCCCCCUCUGUCUCACUCUUCUCCAUUUGUGCAGUUGAUUAAAGGAAUGGUAUCAGGUGUGUGAAUUAUUCACUCUCUGGACCCAACUCCUACGUCCAACUCUGAAUACCAACUCUGGGAUCACUGGGAUUACUGUCUGGAUAGGAACUCACUCCCUGGAUCUCUGGACCCCCUCUGCCUGAUUACCCUGCUUGCCUACCUGCCUGGCUCCACUCACCCCUCUGGCUCACGGCUCAGUUCCACCACUUCUCUAAACCAUGGACUUCACACUCAUUCAUAAGGCUCGUGCAAUGUGGCUGAACUGGCAGUUGAUUUCCAGACUCUGGCUGUGAUAUGAUGAACCAGGAUCCUUAGAUCAACUCACUUCCUUGGCCAUCAGGAUUGACAACCGUCUCUUCGAGUGCCGCCAGGAGAGGGCUGUCAAACUACAACCUGCUAGCCACAUGUCAGUCCCUCCUACGUGUUCACUCCUGAGAGAUCCUGAACAUUCCUGAGCCCUCACACGGAGUCCUGAGCCCAAGUUAAACAGAACUGGUUUAACACCUGAAGAGAGCUUGCCGUAUCAGUACAAAGUCCUGCCUGUACUGCGUUCUGACCAGCCACUUCAUUGCCACAUGUCCCACUCUGUGAGCCAUACUGCAGUUAAAACCCCUGUCUCUCACAACAGCAUGCAGCUAGAAGCCUCCAUCUUAGGAGCUAAAAGCUAACCCUGACCUAUGCCUUCGUCAGAAGGUGUGGUUGUUCUCCCUUGACCUCCCACUUCAAGGGGAAUCCCGCAAACUGGCACCCCAGUAUGUUUGUCCCUUUGAAAUAGACAAGAUCAUUGACCCCUCUGGCUAUCUUGUAAUAAUAUAGAUGAUAGCUGGCUACGUUAACUUUCUUAAGUCAUGACGGUCUUACUCUUUGGAUGUUCUACAAGUCUGUAGUGGCCAGUGUCACCUUAUAUAUAUGUGUAUAUAUAUAUAUAUAUAUAUAUAUAUAUAUACAUAUUUAUAAUCUACACAUAUGCACCCAAUCUGUGUUUUAAAAGAGACACAGAUAGCUGGGUUAUUGUUAACUACUGAAAUACAUGUUUUUAGCAUUGAAGUUACAUUUAAAUCUAUAUAUAUGUUGAGUAUUUUGAGAAUAUAUAAUGUGCAUAUUUCCCCCACACACAGUAUUAGUAUUUGAUCAUCCUGUUUGUAAUAUCUCUAUAGCUCCAAUUCCACAGACUUCGGGGUAUAGCUCAGUGGUAGAGCAUUUGACUGCAGUUCAAGAGGUCUCUGGUCAAGUCCAGAUGGCCCCUAAGUCUUAUUUGUUGGGCCAGCUCAGUCUGUGGGGACUUGGCUUGGGUUGCCGGUACAAGUCCAGCACCGACAACUGCCAAGCAAGAACCUGAACCCCUGACUGCUCCCUGGGCGCUGCACAAUGGCUGCUCACUGCUCUUAAUAAGGAUGGGUUAAAUGCAUAUAACAAAUUCUGCAUGUAUUGUACUGUGUAUAAAUUGUAUUUAGCAUUAGCAUUUAACAUUUACUUAAGUAAAGCCAGGUAACCAAAAGACAAUCUGACCAGUUAAGCUUGAUUUGUGAUUCAGGGCCCCAGUGAAUGAGAUUAAGCAGUCGUCACCAUGACAGUGUCUUA